UUCAUGAUUGGGGCACAAUCGCAUUUCGAGCGCAUAGCAAGGUGGAUAUCAUUACAACAUACCAUGUACUGAAUAGAUGAGAAUACAAGAUAAAGGCUUACCCUCGCCACAAGCAACAACAUGAAUACAAUCAUUCAUCAAUACAUAGCAAUCAUCAUACAAAAGAGCAGGAUCCGACUACCGAUGAAAUCAAACAAAAAAGAAGAACGACAUCCACCCUGCUAAUCCCAAGCUCCUGACCCGGAACCUAUCCCUUGAUCGAAGAAGAAGAACUCCAAAAGCAAUCAAGCUUGCUCUCACAUCAGAUAAUCGCAUUACCUGUACCUGCAACUGUUGUUGUAGUAAUCUGUGAGCCACGAGGACUCAACAAUCCCAUUACCAUGGGUAUCAAGACUAGUAAAGCUUAAAGGAUAUGGAAUGGGUAAGUGGUAGCAAGUGAUUAAGCAUUGUAUGGUGGCUAACUUACGAGUACAGGAGUAAGAUGAGAAACUACGCAAACGGUCACAAACUAGUAAUGAUCAAGAAGUGACCCUGAACUACUUACGUUCAAACAUAACCCCACCGUGUUCUCUUCUCGAACUUACUCAAAAAGAGAUGGUCACGGUUACACACGCAGUUGGUGUAUUUUAAUUCGGAUCUGGUGUCAAGUUCUCUACAACCGAAUAUUAAAAACUCCCAUCUGCGACAUAACCGCGGGCACAACUUUCAAAAGAGUAAACCCUGCAGGGCUGUCCCAACUUAGCCCACGACAAGCUCAUGAUCCGUGAAGACAAUCCUCCAUCGCGGGACAACCCGAUCAAAUUCGGGAUCCCGAUGCACAAGACAUUUCGACAGUGGUAAAACAAAACCAGCAAGACCUCCCAACGUGCCGACACCCUAAUAGUAGCCGCACGUAUCUCGUCUCAGGCCACAACCGGAUGAGCAGUCUGUACAACUAAACACUAGCCCUCGAGUUACCUCGGGGUGGGGCUGCAAGGGGCUCUUGGUUGGACCAACACUCAGGAGGAGCACUAGCCCGGGGUUGUUAAUUAAGUCCUCGGGGUUCGGAAAGUCCCUAUGCAAGUUUUAGUUGUUAUUAGGCAAAUGGUAAAACCAAUGUUGGGCCUUGCUGGAGGAGUUGUAUUCAAAGCGAAUUGUCAAGGGGGGGCAUAAACCUGGACCAUGUUAGGACCGCAAAAUCAAGGAACAUAACACCAGUAUGACAGAAACUAGGGCGACAAAAGUGGAACAAAACACCAGGCAAAAGGCCGAGCCUUCCACCCUUACCAAGUAUAUAGAUGCAUUAAUUAAAUAAGAGAUAUUGUGAUAUCUCAUGAUAUCUAUGUCUCAACAUGGAACAACCUGCAACUGCACCUGCAACUAGCAAUGCUAUAAGAGGGGCUGAGCAAAGCGGUAACAUAGCCAAACAACGGUUUGCUGGGAUGAUGGAAAGGUUAGAGGCUGUUUCAUGGCAUAUUGGGAGGCUUGAUAAACAAGUGGUGGGUAGCGCGAUACGGAGAUAGCAUCGAGACAACUAGCAUAGCAAAUAUAAUAGUGAGAUCCAAGGUGACGGCCAUCUUGCCUGAAAUCCCGCUAUGAAGAAGACCGAGUCCAUGAAGUAGACGAACGGGCAUAGUCGAAUGAAUCCUCACAAUCCGCAACAUUACCAGACCUAAGAAGCAACACCAAAAAAAAGCAAACAACAUGGUGAACACACAAGCAUAAACAUGGCAUGAUGCACAAACAAGUAUGAUGCAUGUCUGGUUUAAAUGUGCAUGGCAUGGCAAAGUGCGACAAACAAUACUAUAAAUUAUGUGGAGCUCAAUAUGCAACGAGUUGCAUAUUGACAAAACAUCACAUUCAAUUAUUUAGUUCGCUCUCGUUCAUGUACAAGACAAUAUUAAAUAUUGGUUAACAUGGCAAGAGGUGAAGCAGAAGUAAACUAACUAUUUAGGCAAGUUUAAAUGAGGCCGAAACAACAAACAAUAAUUCCGGAAAAUCCCCAUGUGCAUAUUUUGAAUUUGCUACCAUUCUGUCCUAUACACAAUUUUAUAGUUCUUAAACAUGCAAAAUAAAGCCACCAUAUUAAUCUAUGCAUUUUCCACCCCAAUUACAUAUAAAGUUUAUUUAAUUCGGAGCUAUGGUUAUUUAGUUAUGAAAUAAAUCAUUUUAACAUGUUAUUUAUGCAAACUUAAUCAAACAGCAAGUUUAAAAACUUUAAACAUGGAUGAAAGUUGCAUGUUAUUAAACUAGAUGAAAUUCUAUGCAUUUUUCAUGUAUAGAGUAUUUACAUAUGAUGCAUGGUUAAUGAGGUAUUAAUGCAUGAACAUGGAGGGGGCUUUCUGUAAAACCGGCGUUCUCUGGAUAAUGUCUAAAAUCACAGCAGGGGAAAAAAACACAUCGGGCCGAAAAUGAAUUGAACUGGGCUGCUUGGCUGCUCACAUUGGGCCUUAGGAGGCGCUGGGUAGCUGGGCUGCGAGCGAAGUAGAGGAGGCCUCGCGCGGCAAGUGGCACUCGUCCAGGCUGGCGCUGGACUGGGCUGCUCACCAUGGGCCAAGGCCUAGUCAGUGGAGAGGCUUGGGCCAGGCAGAGCCAGCUGGGCCGAGGCGAGGCUGGCCUAGGCGCGUGCGGUCGUGGUCAACGCUCGGGACGAGCGAGCGAGACAGGGGUUGCGGGCGCGGUCCUAUGCUCGACAGGGUGCAGAAGCAGAGCAGCGGCGUCGGGGAUCUCCUGCGCGGCGGCGAAGGACGAAGGGCGAGAAACUGGGCACGAUAGAGGUCGAGGAGGGGUCUCCCGACAGCGAGCUGCUCCACCGGUUGCUUCCUGUACGAAUGAGAAAAGGAGGAGGUUCAGAGAGGGGGAAACAGCAGACGAGGAGGAAGGGCAACGGAGCGACGAGGCGCGGCUCACCCGAGGGGCUGGCGAAGCCGGCAAGAAGAGGCGGGACGAGGGACGCCUCCCUAGUGGUGAUGUACGGCUUCAGGGCGUUGAGGCCUAGCGAUGGCCAACGCAAGGAGGUAGAGACGCCUCGCGUCAUUUGCAGGCGAGCGGGAGGAUACGAGGUCGGAGGCGAAGGUGGGACAUGGCGCCGGUGGGACUUGGCAUGGAGGAAGGAGGUCCGACGGGGGCACGAGGGUGUAGGGCGUUGGGGUGACCGGAUCCGGUCGCGGGAGGAAGGGGAAGAGGGAGGGCGAGGAGGCAUCCCGCGCAAAGCUCCUGCGAGGUCCCCAUGGCGGCGCUGCUGCGAGGAAAACACAGAGAGGGGCGAGAUGUAAGCGGAAGGAAGGAACCAGAGGAAGGAAAGGGAGAGGUGGCACGAUGGGGCCGACCUGGUCAUGGGCUCCGGUCGCGGGAGCACGGGUGACAGCGGACGGG
rnacentral:lncRNA from 1 species